CUUUUAUUUUUUUUUGUAAAUUAAGUAAGCAAUUUAAUAAGCCAUUAACGAUACACACACACACACACACAAUAAACCUAAGAAGUGGUGGCAGCUUUUUUGAGAAAGAAAUACGAUUUAUGGGGACAAUCGAAUAAAAAAAAACACAUUACUAACAAAACCUUAAUGAAGACUUUUCUGACAUUGUUGCAGAACAUUAAAGACGCCGACAACAUCUCCGAGGUUGUGUGUGGGGUUAACAAGGUCGUUACGCCUUUGUCCUUUUAUUAAGAUGAUGUUGGACGCGGGUUUUUAGACACUCUGAGACUGGCCAAAUGCUCAUUCGUGUGCCCCCUGCAGACUGUGCUCUCCAGGCUGCUCCCCACCCCCUUCCCCCAGGGCUGUCAGCCCAGUAAAUUGCCGCAUUUCAUAUAGCACAGGAGCCGGACAAAAGCUCACACUCGCCGCUUUGUCGAAUAUAUUUCUCUUGUAUUCGUUUAGCAUCAAAAUAACGACGCUUUGGUGGCUCUGUGUCUUUGUGUGUGUGUGUGUGGCUGUUUAAACAGUGCUUUGAUCAGCACUGUCAGCUCAGAUGCUAUAACUGACCCAAUAUAAAUGGAUUUAUGGCUCUAUUCAACACUUGCUUCAAACCAAUGGCCAAAAGAAGGCCCUUCAAGUCAGUUUACAAUGUCUCUCUCCUGUACAGGAAACCCACAUGUAAUCGGGCUCCUAUCGCCAGUUAAAUAUUUCCAUCGUUCCUUCCCACAAUCUUGGAUCCCGGAGUUACCAUCAAUCCAGUUUAAGGCUAACCGUCUAUUUCAAACGCACGGCUGCUAAUUUAACCGGAGUGCCCCCGCCCCUUUCCCUGUGAGUUACUAUCCUUCCUUCUGUCGGAUACGUUGAUCUAUGGCAGGGAGGAAUGUAUUAUGGGCAAAACCGAGGAUGCAGCCACCAAGAAUGCCCAAUUGCUUGUGCCGCGCAGAUCACACAGCAGAGGAUCAGAGGGAGAAUGCAGAUUUGGGAACCCAAGGCCAUUUUGGAGCUGUGAUCGGUUGUGAGUGGAGCAUAUCUCUGUGAAGCAUGCCAGCAAUGAUCUGAGGGAGCUGUGAUCGCCGUGGAAGUUACCAUGCACAGCUUUCAGGGUGAUGUCAAGUUUGACACUACAGAUAAGGAGGAGUCAGCACUGCCUUUCUACUGCCAGCAGAGGGCCGCGACUGGGUCCUAAAGCCCACCAAACCCAUUCUCAACAAACAAUCUGGUUCGGACAUUUAAAGUUCAAUGGCAAGAGAUUUUUUUUUUGUUUUCAGCGCUCGCAAACUAAUCAUUCUAAAACAUUUUCCUUUGAUCGAUCUUUGUUAAUUUUCAAUAUAAUAACAAAUAAAGUACUUUAUGCCGAAAUAGUGCGUGCUGGAGGUCGGGGUGGUGGUGAGGUGGGAUGGGUCCCUUUAACUUCAAUAUAGUAAAUGCUGGAACGUUAUUUACAAGAUAAAGUACAAUUCCAUUCGCGCAGAUACUGUUAAGCCCUAUUCCCAGUAAAGCCUUUAGUCUCUCCCAUCUGUUCCCCCACUAUGGCCCCUAUCUUUGCUCCCAAAGGGCGCAGACAAACACAUGAUUGAGUUAGCUAUCCAUCAUUAAAUCUGGCUGGACCACAUCAAGUACAUUGGGCCGCACUUCCCGCAGCCACUACUCCAGGCUCACUCUGGAGAGCUGUCUUCUUUUCUCCACUACCCUUAAACACAUAUACUCUUCCCCUCACCGUCACUUUCAACAACAAAAGUGAGACACUUUUAUGUACUACGUUUUCUUUGCAAAUAUUAAAACUAUUUAUUCUCUUGUCUCCGUUGUUUCUGUCCCUACCCCUUGUCCACAAAUUCAAACCUCCCUCUUGCUCUGGACCUGAACGCAUUGCUCUUCACGCCCUCUCUGAGCUAAUCUGCCUAUGUGACAUACCUCCUGUUCCCUUGGUCUCAUUCUCACUAAACUGCUGGCUACCCAAUUUCAUUUCCUAGCUCUCAUACUAACAGACAAAAUAUAUGGUUUCUUCUCCUCUGGUACUGACCUCUCCCUUCCAUAAAUACUGUUAUAACACCCCUCCUCAAAACCUAUUAAUAACUCCAACUCCCUGCAAAUUACUACACUGUCCCCAACCUCCAUUUUUUUUGGAUUAAUGCCCACUUUUGACUGAUUAAUCCUUUGUGCAACAUCUUGGGAUGUUUCCCCACGUUAAAGGUUCCAUAUAAAAACCGGUGCUUCCAAAACAUUAUUGCUUACUACUUACUUUCCUUUAAGAAUAUAAGUUAUUAGUAUUUAUCUAUGCCCAUUCCUUUACCCUUUAAUUUUGAGUUGCUUAGAUGAAUGACGCUAUCUGCCAUUUAUAGAUAAGUCAUUGCAAUCAAGCCAAUAAAUUGUCUGUUACAGUGGAGAUGAAAGCAUGCUUUCUUAGGAGUUUAGGAAAGGCUACUAUAGUAGGUCUUAAAUUUACACUAUUGUCUCUCAUUUCCCUUUCCCCUGAUCCAUCUACUCAAAGUAGUAAUUAAUGUUUAAGCUUGUCAUACUGAAAUUGGAGUCUGAAGCUGAUUAAAGCAUUGUGCUGCAUUUGGUGCUUUAAUCAGCUCACUAUCCUGUAUUUCAGCAUUUAACACACCAGAGCAUUCAUUAGAAUCUUGUUAAUGCAUAGUUAAGCUACUGGCUAACAAUAAUUAUAAAUCAGUGAAGAUAUUAGGAUUGAAGGGCAAAUCCUAAAUUCUUACAGCAACAACACAAAAAAAGAUAGAAUAACAAAGUGACAUUCACUGGAUGAAUUCCAUUCCAAAUCCUUAACUGUAAACAAAAACAAAAUGUUUUAAAGAUAAAAGUCAAACUGGGUGUAUUUCCUGUAUGACUGUAAUGAAUGAUCCAUUCUGAUAUUGGGAAUUUAAAUUCACUUAAUUGAGACGAUGCUUCACUACUCUCCAAUCCAUCAUAACACCAGCUAGAACAAAUUGGCUACUGUCUUAGUUACUCAGAUCUGAAAUAUUGGCAUGCUGCAUGUAUUGCACUAUAACUGGUUGAAAUACUGUAAAACUAUUUUAAUACAAUUCUUUUGGAAAGAUUGCAAUCUGAAUUCAUGAACAUGGGCAUUUUAUAACAUUUGCCUGAUAAUUUAAUUAAAUCCAUCUAGAAGGAAGUAAAUUUUUCUGGUAACAUUGUAAGGGAAUACAAGCACAAGGUAUUGCUUGUAUUUAAAGAGUACCUUUAAAUGGGCCAAUUAUAAUAGAUGUCAAUAAUAUAAACUUAAGGACCAUACUGACUUUUAGUUUUGAAAGAGUGCCCUGUUUUACACAUGAAACUUCUUCUAGUUGUAAUGAAUCUGUUGUAUUUGACCUUGUUUUCAAAAUGUGUGUCAGCACUACAAAGCCGAAGGGUGCUGAUAGCUAUUUUAUGGAAAAACUCUCCAAUUUUCAAAUUUAAUGUAAUUUCUGUAAAGUGCAUUGCAGAAGGUUGGAAAGUUACAUAUGUCCCUUCAAAUGGUAAUUUUUCAUUGAUCCACAAUGGCAAAAUGCAACCAGUUUAACAAUAAAAUUUAAUUACAAAUAAAACAAUCUAAAUAUUGUAAUCUUGAACUUUGUAUCAAAAUGAAACAGCAUUACAAAACCUAAAAAUUGUCUCAGUUUCCCACUUUCCGUUAUGUACAACAUGUAUCACUACAUAUUGUGAUCAUGAAAUGAAGGCUGGAAUGUAAUGAGAGAUUCAAUAUCUACCAUAAACUUGUGGCAUAUGCUAAUCUUUUAAAUUGUAAGAUGUAUUUAGAGCCAUUUUGCUCAUUAUCCACCUUUUGUGUUUUUAUAUAUUUAUUACAGGAAUAAUAAAAUAAUAAGAGUACAAUUAUGCUGAUUGAAGAUUGUAUGCGUGUAUUAUGGUCCAAUUGCUAUAUAAUAAAGUUAUCAUGGGUUUUAUAA